rnacentral:lncRNA from 1 species
CCCAAUCUCACGUGCAGUCCACCGGUUAAUCCAUAAUCUAACCCAUUUUUCAUUCCUAAUUCCCAGAAACCAUUCCAAACAAUACAUAGAUACAAUACACCACCAUACCCGACCCAUCAGUACAUGUAGUACUGCUCCAGCAGGCGUAGUAGUUGUGCAUUUUGUCUUUCGCUGCCAGAUGGAGCAAUCUCAGCGUCUUAUUCGUCCUUUGCUCAGAAAUUGGAUGGAUCUCCUUCGAAUUCCAUUAGGAACUACUACUAUAGACAACUUUCAACCUUAUCUCUUAGGAGCUUUUGAAUUUCGAAUUCAUUCCAUUCUUCCUUUUCGAGUACCCUCUCCCUAAAUUGAACCCUAGAUUUCCCAUCUAUAUAUACCUUUCUUCAUUUUCUAUGCUAGGGGUUGGAAAAGGAAAAACGGAAAAGAGAAAGUUACAGUAAAAUAGUUAUAGUAUAUACACGAAAUACAUUAGGAAAAGAGAAAGAAAAGUUAGUUUACGACCGAGUCUCAUUCCUCUAGCUUGGUCACCAUCGUUGGUCCAAGUUAGUUCGAGUUUUGUUGCUGUUUAGGUUGCUCUCUUGCUGUCCAUAUCGUGUCUGUGUGGUAGAAUCCGACUAUCUACUCGUCUCGUCCCCGUUUGCUGCCUGGAAAAUGGUAAUGUUUCCUCCAUAGUAACUUCUUCAUCUCUCAUGUUUUGAAUGGAUGUUUGCAAGAUUAUAAGAUCUUUGUUUUUGUUUGGAUGAUGUUGGUCGGGAUCGAGUUUUGAUGACUUCACUUGUUAUUUAUCUAUUCUUAAAGGAUAUCUCGAUCUAGUUUCAACAUAUGGUUAUCGGUCUGAGUUUGUCAUCUGCUUGUUUCCAUGUUCAAGUUUGCUAGUUCGUUAUGAUUUGUCUUGAAUAGUUUGUGAGUGUCAUGAACAUGUUCCUUUUGAAUUUAAUAUAGUCGAAUUCUGUCUGAACUUUGAUUAUGAGGUAAGUUCUUAUUCUAAUUUGUUUAGCUUGUAUUCAAUAUCUAGUUUUUGUUUGGCUCAUGUCGUCUUAAUUUCAUACCCAGUUCUCUUUUUGAGUUUAGUUGUUUAGAUUUUUGAAUGGUUUAAUGUAUGCGGGAUAGUAGUCGAUUGAUCUAGUAAUUGAUAACGAGGGUUUUUGAAUUAACUCGAUUUUGGUCUAAAGUUUCAAACCUGCAAUUUGGUUGAAGCUUUAUCGUGUAAAGUUAGUGUGAUAGCUAGUUAUGAUAUGAGGGCUCAUAUACUUAAUUAAGUUGUGGUUAUUUGAGUGUUAUCUUUAACGAAUGCUUCAGUUCGUUAAAUCAUAUCUAGAUCAGUGAGUCUCAUAUCAUUUUGAGGUAUAUGCUUCUUGAAUGACUUAUAUAUAUUUUUUUGGUUUGUUCUAGAAAUUUGUGUUUUAAUCGAAUUUCAUUCCUUUAGUUAUUAAGUAAGACUUCUUCGACGUGUUUCUUCUUAGUUUUCAUUAACUUAAUUAAUUAUAUAGCCUAAUUAUGUGAAGUUUCUGUUUAUUCAUUUAUGAUGGUGUCACUGACUAUUUAAAAUGUGAUUAGUUCUCCAUAUUAAAUUUGCUUAGUUCAAUACUUGUUGCUUUGUCUUGUCUAAGACUCUGCCUUUUUAUCGUUAGUCUUUCUUUUGCUUGCCAUUGUUAGUGUCAUUACUGGGAGUACUAAUCCUUAUCUUUUUAUUUUAUUGCAUGUGGAAAUCCACCCGAGUUCACAAUGAAAUCCUAUUUCCCUUCCUCGCAUUUUGAGAGAGUCACAAAUGUUCAAAUUCUACCUUUAUCAAGUCAGCCAACCAUGGAUCGAAGAUUAGAUCCCUGAAACUUAACGUACAUGUGUCCAUAGGUGAUACAUGAUUGUAUACACUAGUAUACAUCUAGUGUAUACGAGAAAGGGUAUUGGGCCUAGAGGCCCCUAAAUUUAGUUUUGUAAUUUGUUGUUGGGCCUAAGCCCAUUUUACUUGAAUUUUUAUCUUGUUAGUUAAGAACAUGAACAAGUGGUUGAAGUGGGAUAAGAAGCCCGAAUCAUGACUAGGCUUGACAACUGCUCAGGUGGACAGAAAAUCAAACGUGGGCCCAAAACACACACACACUCUCUCUUUAUUCUUAUUGUUUUGUAUUUACGCAAUUGUUUAUUUUCUAGUCAAUUUUAAAAUUUUCCUAAUUCAAUUUCCCCAAAAGAUAGUCAUUUAGAGAUUUUCUUAAAGACUAAAUGAAAUAAGUCCUUAUUUUUCUACUUAAACUACUUUGAAAUAAUUUUCUUUAAAUGAUCCCUUAUAUUAUCCCCAUUUCCUCUAAAAAAUAUCUUAAUUUUUUUUAUUUUCUCAACUUAAUUAAUCAUACUUAUCUAUAAAAAAAUGAUUAGCCAAAUAGUUAACUAUUGGAUGACCGCAUGUUAGCGGAUAUUCUAGGUGCUUUAAAAACCUUUCUAGAACAUUAAUAUGAACCUCAAACCCCUUUUUUUAUAGUUUCA